rnacentral:rRNA from 1 species
UGGGGAAUAUUGCACAAUGGGCGAAAGCCUGAUGCAGCGACGCCGCGUGCGGGAUGAAGGCCUUCGGGUUGUAAACCGCUUUUAAUUGGGAGCAAGCGAGAGUGAGUGUACCUUUUGAAUAAGCACCGGCUAACUACGUGCCAGCAGCCGCGGUAAUACGUAGGGUGCAAGCGUUAUCCGGAAUUAUUGGGCGUAAAGAGCUCGUAGGCGGUUUGUCACGCCUGGUGUGAAAGUCCAUCGCUUAACGGUGGAUCUGCGCCGGGUACGGGCAGGCUAGAGUGCAGUAGGGGAGAUUGGAAUUCCCGGUGUAACGGUGGAAUGUGUAGAUAUCGGGAAGAACACCAAUGGCGAAGGCAGAUCUCUGGGCUGUUACUGACGCUGAGGAGCGAAAGCAUGGGGAGCGAACAGG